UCGCAGCCUAGUGCGGCACUCCAAACGUAGCGUUACGGGCUUCUACAUUGCAAUGAAUGACUAACGCCUGAAAGGAAAUAAUGAUUUGCAUCCGCAUGUAACUUGAGCAUAUGUCUCAAAGGAAAUGUAAAGAAUGUUUACUUAUUUUGAACGUCCUCGUUGAAAACCAGGUUCUCUACGCUAGCAUCUAUUUGUUGGUCUCCGGCGCUAAAUGUUUUACACGACGCAGUACAUUUUGAGUACUACGGAUUAAUUGCUGCAGCGGUACCUAGUCCCGACUGUGGCGAUGCUUUCAAUUGCCUGUACAACAUAGCCACGCACAUUUUACUUAGACAAGGUAUGUUCAGUUUUAAGUCUGAAUACAAUUUAUAUUUGAACAUAGUCUGCCGAUUGUCCGUGAGGUUGGACCCACUUCAAUAUGCGGGUCUCUGUGUGGUAAUCAGGUCAUGAGCAAACAUCUUAAAGCACGUGCACAAUUUGGAUGUACAUGCAGAUUUCGACCUGCUGAAGGACCAACCCCGCAGAGAGCCAGUAGAGUGGAGUCUCUCCCUGGGCACGCGGCGUGUGAUGGAGGCAGUGCAGGAGGGCCCUAAGAGCAUCCUGAGCUCUGGUAAAGUUGUGGCUCUGGCAGCGGGGCUGUCUGUCGGAGCGACGGUGGGAUACAUUGUCUACCGGCAAAUCAAAAGCACCAGCCCGCCGCUGGCUAACACCGAGGAGUCCAGGAUGUCAGUACCUCUGGAGGUUUACAGGACUAUUACCAAGUACCAAGCCUCCUUCCUGGACCUGGUGAUGCAGAAGUCCGGUGCCCGCGUGAGGGUGCUCUCUGAGUCUUCGCAGGCAGUCGAGCAAAGUUCCCAGAAUUCCGUUUGUUUCCUGCUGCAGGGCUCACCUCAGCAGGUGCUGCUGGCCAGGUGUUCCCUGGAGAACCUGGCCGCAGACUGCGAGACCACCACUGACGUCAUGGAGGUACCCCAGACUGCCUUCGGACGCAUCAUAGGUCGUGGAGGGGAGUCUCUGAAGCUCAUCACCAGGACAACAGGAGCAAGAGUCCUAUGUCCCAGGGAGAGGGGGCAGGGCCUAGAGAAGGGCAUGGUGUCUGUCACAGGGACGAGACUGGAGGUCAGACGGGCCAAGGAGCUCAUCCUAGAGAAGGUAUUUGAGGAUGAGGCUGUAAGGAGGAGGAUAACCCAGUCCUCGGCCCUGCGCCAGAAACGAAGACCCUUCGAGCCCCAGGGUCAAAGGUCUGAGGAACUGAAGCUGGAGGAGGCUCCACAGUCUCUCUGGAUGGAGGAAGGGGGGCUGGUCCAUGCUAACGGUGUCCAGACCGCAGUGGGAGCCCUUGCCCAGGCUAGAGGAGAGACCGUACAGCUGGCUACAGAGGCACGAGAGGAGGACGAUCUUCUGUCGCCUGACUCCCUAUCAGAUGUUUCUAAAUUUGAAAUUCCCAGCCCAGACCUGAGCUUCCAGCCAGAUGAGCACCUGGAGGUGUAUGUAUCGGCGUCAGAGAACCCCCACCACUUCUGGAUCCAGAUCCUGGGGGUCCGCUCCCUCCAGCUGGACAAACUUACUGCCGAGAUGAGCCGCUUCUACAGCAACUGCACCCUGCAGGAGCAGCGAGUGGAGACCAUCGUGGUGGGGGACAUCGUGGCAGCUCCGUACCGGGACUACGGCACCUGGAACAGGGCGAGGGUCCUGGGGGUGAUGGGCUCUGGCCUGGUGGACCUCUACUAUGUCGACUUCGGAGACAAUGGAGAACUACCCAGGGAUAGUCUGCGGAGUAUGAGAAGUGACUUUCUCAGCCUACCAUUCCAGGCCAUCGAGUGCAGCCUAGCUGGAGUCAACCCUGCAGGUGAGGUGUGGAGCGACCAAGCCCUGGACGACUUUGAGCGCCUGACGUAUGUUGCAGAGUGGAGACCCCUGCUGGCCAAACUGUGCAGCUACACCCACUCUGAGGUCUCCUCUUGGCCAAGUGUACAGCUCUACGACAACACCGAGGGCAAGGCUGUAGAUCUAGGAGAGGAGAUGGUGAGUCUGGGCCAUGCUGUACCUAGCCAGGAUAAUGGGAACGGGGGUGGCGACAGGGACGACCCUGGAACACUACAGAGGAUGCUGGAUGAUGUGACUGGAGCCACGUCGGAGCUAAGCCUGUCCUGCAUCAGCUUAUCAGUUACAGGCCAUCAGAAUGACGAGUGGGUGUUAAAGCUGGCCACACCGUCAUUCUCAGGCUCUCUGAGCCCUCUGGAGCUGCAGCGGGCUGAUGUUGAUGACAGCCCCUCUGGGUUUGGCUUUGGGCUGACACACUCCACCCCGGCCCAGCGAGCCCUGGUGGACCUGGUUUCCCACAUCCUGGAGUCCCCCAGCCCCUCUGAACACCCCCUCUCCCCAGACCACCAGGUCCCGGACGAACGCUGUCACACACUCAACCAAACCACCAACCUCUACAGCUUCUCAGUGCCCCAGCUGCAACUCACACACACACUUCCUAUGUCCUCCUGUACCUCUUCGUCUACUUCCUCGUCGCCUCUGGAGGUCGUGACCUCUGUGUUGGGUUCGGUCAUGCUGAGUGACAACGUCUUCCUGGAGGGCUCCAGUUAUGACGGGGAUGAGGAAUGUGGCGUAACCUCGUCUUCCGGAGAAGUGGAGACAACUGGGGGCAACUCAACUUGGUGGUCGACUAGAGGUGACAGUCUGGAGGAGGAAGUGGACGAGGAGCAGAACAGUGAGGGGGCCAUCGACAUCGGUUCCACUCCUACCUUCCCCACACAGAGGCACUUGUGGCUGGAAGAGGGCAGGCAUGGGGGUGGUGAAGAUAGCACUGAAAGUCCUAGUGUGGUUGUAGUUGGUAGUAGUUUCAGUAGCAGUGGGAGUGAUAUUAUCUAUAUGGGGUCAGUGGCGCCUGCUUGGGAGAAGGGUCAGGCUGUGUCCUGCCCUAAUGUUGAUGGUGGCAACCCACAGAGGGUGAGGAAAGCAACAAGAUUACCGUUCCACCUCUCUGAGGAGGCAAUGGACAUGAAUGCCCUGGAAAGCCAAGCUGGAAUGGAUGAGAAGACUGAGGAACAGAGAAACCGACUGGACGAACACGAGAUGGAGGAAGUGAUGAGUCCACUUGGGGAGGAGGCAGGAUCUGAACACAGGAACGAACCUUCAGCGGGAUUCCAUUCACCAGAGGAGUUUGGGACGGAGAGUGGAAGAUUGGGUAUUGCAGAGCGGCCACCGCAUCAGAGGAGUGGUCUGCGAACCUCCGAGCAAUUCAACAAGGAGCCCAACUGCACUGAAGCAAAUGACAGGAGAGCGAGCCCUCAGGAAUUAUGACCUAUGAAGGAGUCUAUCCCAAACAGAGAAGUGGCCUCAAUCUCAGGAAGCGUUGAUGAUGUUCUAGAGGACGAGUUCGUCUGAGACCAAAGACAGACGUGUCAACACUGACCAUCCACUCUCUGCAUCAACUCCAUGUUAUGAAGUGGACACCUUCCCUCACCCCCACGCCACCAACCCCCUCGUCCUCUUCAUGAAGCCUUACUUGACUCAUGCUGAAUCCCAAAUGAACAAUUAGCCCCAUACUCCUUGGCAUGUUCUGUUUUAUCUGAAACAAUUGGAUGUAACUAUUUUUUUCAAAACCUCAGCGGGCAAAUUUAGCCACUUACCAUGUGGCCUGAGCCGAUCUGAUCACUACUGAUCUGCAGGAAUGGUUAGCAUCUGCAGACUGUGCAGCAGUUCUCCCAGCCAAUUUCAUUCAACUGUGGUCUUUCCCUGAUACGGGUUGAUUUGGGUUAUUCCUUUAUGCCUUUCAUGCAGUUAUGCUUUGUGCUGCUAUGUGUUUAUUGUUUAAGUUGCUGAGGAGAAGAGAUGGCGGAAAAAGAAGUCGAAUGCCAGUAUUGUUUAAGAUAAAGCACUGUGAUAGUCAUUCGAGCCCUAUAUUAGGUGAUUGUGGCUGUUAGAACAAAAUCCAUCUGUAAAUUAAUAUGUAAACCUCUGUACUAUUGUGCGUUAGUUUUAUGUUGUGAAAAUAAAGAUAUUACACUUAAAUAUGUUAAAUGUCA